rnacentral:antisense_RNA from 1 species
ACGAGGUUCGUGGUGGUGCGGUGCAGGAAAUCCUGCCGGGCGUGGCGAACCUUGCGGUGCGCCCGUGCCACCUUCUUCUUGGCUUUGCGCCGGUUCGCGGAGCCGCGCUGUUUGCGGGCCAUUUGACGCUGGUAGCGGGCCAGGUUGCGGGCUUUGCGGUCCAGGUGGCGCGGGUUGGCGAUGGUCUCGCCGGUGGACAGGGUAGCGAAGUCCUUCACUCCGAGGUCGACGCCGAUAGUCUCGCCCGUGCGUGGAGCGGGUUCGGGCUCGUCGGUGUCCACGACGAAGGUCACGUACCAGCGCCCGUCCGGCUCGCGGGCGACGACCACCAUCGUCGGGGUCAACGACUCCAGCAGGUCGGCUUCCCAGGACCACACGAACUCCAGCGGCGCCGUCUGCUUGGCCAGCGUCAGCUUCCCGUCGCGGAGCUUGAACGCGGAGCGCGUGUAGUGCGCCGACUGGCCUCCGUUGCGGGACUUGAAACGCGGAUACUUCGCCCGUCCGGCGAAGAAGCUCGCGUAAGCGGUGUGCUGGUGCCGCAGCGUUUGUUGCAGCGGCACGCUGGAGACCUCGGACAAAAACGCCAGAUCAUCGG